AUUUCAGCCACUUCUUUUAAAAAAAAUCUGAAAUUUUUCUCUCCCCCCUCUUCUUUUUCCAAAAGCCGGCCAAGAGUCUCCCCUUUUUUCGCGGAAUGGCCUCCUCGGUGGCUGGCGGCGCAAGUGGCGAUGGUGAUGGACGUGUGGUGGUGAAUGACGUGCGGUGGUGGCAGUGGCUAGGGGUAGGGUGCGGCGCCACUUGAUUAGGGGCUAGGGUUUUACUUUUGUUUUUUCUGAAAAUGGGUAUUGGGCCUGGGGUAUUGGGUUUGGUUCAAUUGGGUUUGGGUUUAGGUCUUGGGCUGGUGGGUUAGUUGGGUAGUUGGGUCUGUUUUUGUUUUGUUUGUUGGGCCCAGGUUUGGGCAAAAUUGGGUUGUACAAAAUUUUAAUAAUGUUUUAAUUUUUUAUGAAAUAUAUGUGAAUUGCCACACUAAUACUAUUAAAUUUU